AACGAACGCUGGCGGCAGGCCUCAUACAUGCAAGUCGAGCGAUUAAAGCCCUUUCGGGGGUGUAUAAAGCGGCGAACGGGUGAGUAACAGGUGGAUAAUCUGCCUUUUGGUGGGGGAUAACGGUUGGAAACGGCCGCUAAUACCGCAUGUGAUUGUAGAAUCUUCGGGUUUUAUAAGGAAAGACGCGUUUGCGUCGCCAAAAGAUGAGUCCGCCCCCCAUUAGCUAGUUGGUAAGGUAAAGGCUUACCAAGGCUUCGAUGGGUAGCCGAGCUGAGAGGUUGAUCGGCCACACUGGAACUGAGAUACGGUCCAGACACCUACGGGAGGCAG
rnacentral:rRNA from 1 species